UCUGAACAGCCAUGCCGCGUGCAGGAAAGACAGCCUCUGGGUCGUAAACUGCUUUUAUUCGGGAAUAAACCUACUUACGUGUAAGUAGCUGAAUGUACCGAAGGAAUAAGGAUCGGCUAACUCCGUGCCAGCAGCCGCGGUAAUACGGAGGAUCCAAGCGUUAUCCGGAUUUAUUGGGUUUAAAGGGUGCGUAGGCGGCUUAUUAAGUCAGGGGUGAAAGACGGUGGCUCAACCAUCGCAGUGCCCUUGAUACUGAUGAGCUUGAAUACACUAGAGGUAGGCGGAAUGUGACAAGUAGCGGUGAAAUGCAUAGAUAUGUCACAGAACACCGAUUGCGAAGGCAGCUUACUAUGGUGUCAUUGACGCUGAGGCACGAAAGCGUGGGGAUCAAACAGGAUUAGAUACCCUGGUAGUCCACGCCCUAAACGAUGAAUACUCGCUGUUAGCGAUACACAGUUAGCGGCUAAGCGAAAGCGUUAAGUAUUCCACCUGGGGAGUACGCCCGCAAGGGUGAAACUC
rnacentral:rRNA from 1 species